rnacentral:rRNA from 1 species
CAUGCUCCGCCGCUUGUGCGGGUCCCCGUCAAUUCCUUUGAGUUUUAGCCUUGCGGCCGUACUCCCCAGGCGGGGAACUUAAUGCGUUAGCUGCGUCACGGAAUCCGUGGAAUGGACCCCACAACUAGUUCCCAACGUUUACGGGGUGGACUACCAGGGUAUCUAAGCCUGUUUGCUCCCCACCCUUUCGCUCCUCAGCGUCAGUUACGGCCCAGAGAUCUGCCUUCGCCAUCGGUGUUCCUCCUGAUAUCUGCGCAUUCCACCGCUACACCAGGAAUUCCAAUCUCCCCUACCGCACUCUAGUCUGCCCGUACCCACUGCAGGCUGGGGGUUGAGCCCCCAGAUUUCACAGCAGACGCGACAAACCGCCUACGAGCUCUUUACGCCCAAUAAUUCCGGAUAACGCUUGCACCCUACGUAUUACCGCGGCUGCUGGCACGUAGUUAGCCGGUGCUUUUUCUGCAGGUACCGUCACUCUCGCUUCUUCCCUGCUAAAAGAGGUUUACAACCCGAAGGCCGUCAUCCCUCACGCGGCGUUGCUGCAUCAGGCUUCCGCCCAUUGUGCAAUAUUCCCCACUGCUGCCUCCCGUAGGAGUCUGGGCCGUGUCUCAGUCCCAGUGUGGCCGGUCACCCUCUCAGGCCGGCUACCCGUCGACGCCUUGGUGAGCCAUUACCUCACCAACAAGCUGAUAGGCCGCGAGCCCAUCCCCAACCAAUAAAUCUUUCCAACCACUGAAGAUGCCUUCGUGGUUCGUAUCCAGUAUUAGACGCCGUUUCCAGCGCUUAUCCCAGAGUCAGGGGCAGGUUGCUCACGUGUUACUCACCCGUUCGCCACUAAUCCACCCAGCAAGCUGGGCUUCAUCGUUCGACUGCA